AGCAAUGACAUGCAUUUCAAGCCGUACUAAGCUUAUAUUCCGACUGGCAAGACGAAGAAAAGUUCUGGAACUUAAUAAAUGGAGAAGUAUCUUCGACUACGUCUCAUUUGCAGAUUUUGGUUUAGUUUGCGUGGAACAUGAGUUUGUUGACCAUGGCGAUCCGCUUAUAUUGAAAAUUGAAAACAUCAAUAGGAUUACUGUAAAGAAAGAAAAAAAAAAUAUAUAUCAUAAUGAA